UACGUAGGUGGCAAGCGUUGUCCGGAUUUACUGGGCGUAAAGAGCGCGCAGGCGGUCGGCCAAGUCGAGUGUGAAAGCCCCCCGGCUCAACUGGGGAGGGUCAUUCGAUACUGGUCGACUCGAAGGCAGGAGAGGGAAGCGGAAUUCCCGGUGUAGUGGUGAAAUGCGUAGAUAUCGGGAGGAACACCAGUGGCGAAGGCGGCUUCCUGGCCUGUUCUUGACGCUGAGGCGGCGAAAGCUAGGGGAGCAAACGGGG
rnacentral:rRNA from 1 species